rnacentral:rRNA from 1 species
CCUACGGGUGGCAGCAGUGGGGAAUAUUGCGCAAUGGGGGGAACCCUGACGCAGCAACGCCGCGUGAAGGAAGAAGGCCUUCGGGUCGUAAACUUUUGUCUUCUGGGAAGAAAGAUGACGGUACCAGAGGAGGAAGCCACGGCUAACUACGUGCCAGCAGCCGCGGUAAUACGUAGGUGGCGAGCGUUGUCCGGAAUUACUGGGUGUAAAGGGUGCGUAGGCGGGUAUAUAAGUCAGAUGUGAAAUACCGGGGCUCAACUCCGGGGCUGCAUUUGAAACUAUAUAUCUUGAGUGCAGGAGAGGAAAGCGGAAUUCCUAGUGUAGCGGUGAAAUGCGUAGAGAUUAGGAGGAACACCAGUGGCGAAGGCGGCUUUCUGGACUGCAACUGACGCUGAGGCACGAAAGCGUGGGGAGCGAACAGGAUUAGAUACCCCGGUAGUC